rnacentral:rRNA from 1 species
GAUGAACGCUGGCGGUAUGCUUAACACAUGCAAGUCGAACGGACUCUUCGGAGUUAGUGGCGGACGGGUGAGUAACGCGUGAGAAUCUGGCUUUGGGUUCGGGACAACCACUGGAAACGGUGGCUAAUACCGGAUGUGCCGAGAGGUAAAAGAGAAAUUGCCUGAAGAUGAGCUCGCGUCUGAUUAGCUAGUUGGUGAGGUAAAGGCUCACCAAGGCAGCGAUCAGUAGCUGGUCUGAGAGGAUGACCAGCCACACUGGGACUGAGACACGGCCCAGACUCCUACGGGAGGCAGCAGUGGGGAAUUUUCCGCAAUGGGCGAACGCCUGACGGAGCAAUACCGCGUGAGGGAAGAAGGCUCUUGGGUUGUAAACCUCUUUUCUUAGAGAAGAACAAAAUGACGGUACCUAAGGAAUCAGCAUCGGCUAACUCCGUG